UUUAAGUAAUUAAAGAUGUAUUAAAUUUAAAUGGGGUUAUAUAUAAGGAUAAAUCAAUAAAUAAAAAUUAUAAAGAUAGUAAUGUAAAUGAAUUUAGAUAAAUAUAUAAAAGUAAUUUUAAUUUAAUGUACCUUUUGUAUCAGGGUUUAUUAAAAUAUAGAUUAAAAAUAUAUAAUUUUCUCGAAAUUAAAAGAGCUAAUAAAGAUAUUAAAUAAAGUUAAAUUAUGUUAGUUAAUGUAAAAUAAUUAUUAAUAAUAGGUUAUUAGAGGAUAUAUUCUAGUCAAUUUUAAUGAUAUCUAGUUUUUUUUUAUUUAAAUUUAAUUUAGUCUUAAAAUAGAGUAAUAAUUUUUAUCUGAGAAAAAGGUUAUUAUUAUUUAAGAAAAUAAGCUAUGGGAUAAACUAUAGUUUAAAUUAAAAUAAUUUGUUUGUAUGAAAGAGUUAUAAAUAAUAAAAAAUAGUACUAAUAGAAUUUUAGUUUUAUAAAAAAAAUUUAAUAAUUUAUUAAAUAGAAUUAAAUAAAUAUAUUAGAAAUAUUAAUGUAAGUAAAUAAAAUAUUAAUGAUUUAAAAAAAAGAUUUAAUAAAAUAAAGAAAUAUAAUUUUAAAUAAUUAAAAAUAAGUAAUAAUGGUAAAAUAAGUAAAAUUAAUUAAAAAUUAAAUAAUAUUAAUAAAAUAUAAUUUUAAUUUUAGGAAUUCGGCAAAAAUUAGGUUCAACUGUUUAAUAAAAACAUAGUUUUUUGAUUAUAAUAAAAAAUAUUUUUACUGCUCAAUGAUUAUAAAUUAAAUAGCUGCAGUAUAUUGACUGUACAAAGGUAGCAUAAUAGAUUGUUUAUUAAUUGUAAACUAGAAUGAAUGUAGGAAUGAGACUUAAACUGUCUUAAAUUAAAAAAUUGAAUUUAGUAAUUAAAUAAAAAUAUUUAGAUGAAAUUAUGGGACGAGAAGACCUUAUAGAAUUUUAUAUAUAAAUUUAUAAAAAUUAUUAUAAUUUUAAAGAAUUAAAUAAGUUUGUAUAUUUAGUUGGGAGGAUUGUUAAAUUUGAUAAACUUUAAUUGGAAAUAAAAUAUUAAUGAAUAGUUAAAUUAAAAUUUGAUUGGUUUAAAAAAUUAAGAAAGAAAUAAUUACCUUAGGGAUAACAGCGUAAUAUUUUUAGAAAGAUCAUAUUGAUAAAAAUGAUUGCGACCUCGAUGUUGAAUUAAGAUAAAAAUUAAAUGCAGAAGUUUAAUAUUUUAAGUCUGUUCGACUUUUGGAAUCUUACAUGAUUUGAGUUUAGAUCGGCGUGAGCUAGAUCGGUUUCUAUCUAUAAUAAAUUUAAUAAAUAUUUGUACGAAAGGACUAUAUUUAUGAAUAUAAUUUUUUUAAAAAUAAAAAUGAAAAGAAAGAAUUUUAUACUAAUAAAUUUAGAGGGUUUAUUAGUGUUGUGAUUACUAU
rnacentral:rRNA from 1 species